CCUACGGGUGGCAGCAGUGAGGAAUAUUGGUCAAUGGACGAGAGUCUGAACCAGCCAAGUAGCGUGAAGGAUGACUGCCCUAUGGGUUGUAAACUUCUUUUAUAUGGGAAUAAAAUGUUCCACGUGUGGGAUUUUGUAUGUACCAUAUGAAUAAGGAUCGGCUAACUCCGUGCCAGCAGCAGCGGUAAUACGGAGGAUCCGAGCGUUAUCCGGAUUUAUUGGGUUUAAAGGGAGCGUAGGUGGAUUGUUAAGUCAGUUGUGAAAUUUUGCGGCUCAACCGUAAAAUUGCAGUUGAAACUGGCAGUCUUGAGUACAGUAGAGGUGGGCGGAAUUCGUGGUGUAGCGGUGAAAUGCUUAGAUAUCACGAAGAACUCCGAUUGCGAAGGCAGCUCACUGGACUGCAACUGACACUGAGGCUCGAAAGUGUGGGUAUCAAACAGGAUUAGAUACCCCUGUAGUC
rnacentral:rRNA from 1 species